UUUGUGUCUGUGUCUCUCUGUCCGUCAGUCUCUCUCUCUCUCUCUCUCUGUGUGCCUGAUCGCGUGUCUCGCUGUGAGAAGUCAAGACAGCCAAAAUCACCAUAUGUGUGUGUGUGUGUGUGUGUGU